GUCACAUCAUGUUGAAACACCUAUUCCCGUAUGAUCACCGAUGUUAAGCAAUAUCGACUAUGGUCUGUAUCUAGAUGGGUGACCGUUUGGGAAUAGCAGGUGCUGUAAG